rnacentral:rRNA from 1 species
GAUGAACGCUGGCGGCGUGCUUAACACAUGCAAGUCGAACGAAGCACCUUGAUUCGAUUCUUCUGAUGAAGAUCUUGGUGCCUGAGUGGCGGACGGGUGAGUAACGCGUGGGUAACCUGCCUCAUACAGGGGGAUAACAGUUAGAAAUGACUGCUAAUACCGCAUAAGACCACAGCACCGCAUGGUGCAGGGGUAAAAAGUCCGGUGGUAUGAGAUGGACACGCGUCUGAUUAGGUAGUUGGUGGGGUAACGGCCUACCAAGCCGACGAUCAGUAGCCGAGAAGAGAGGGUGACCCGAGACAUUUGCGCUGGGACACAGUCCAGACUACUACGCGAGGGAGGAGAGGGGGAUACAGCAAAACGGGGGGAGUGCUGAUGCCGCGACGCCGGGUGAGCGAUUAAGUAUGUCGGGAUGUGCAGCAGGAUCAGCAGGCGAGGUAAUGACGGUACCUGACGAAGAAGCACCGGCUAACUACGUG